rnacentral:rRNA from 1 species
UACGGAGGAUGCGAGCGUUAUCCGGAUUUAUUGGGUUUAAAGGGUGCGUAGGCGGACUGUCAAGUCAGCGGUAAAAUUGAGAGGCUCAACCUCUUCCCGCCGUUGAAACUGGUAGACUUGAGUGCAGGAGAGGAGAGUGGAAUUCCAUGUGUAGCGGUGAAAUGCGUAGAUAUAUGGAGCAACACCGGUGGCGAAAGCGGCUCUCUGGCCUGUAACUGACACUGAGGCUCGAAAGCGUGGGGAGCAAACAGG